rnacentral:rRNA from 1 species
AUUGAAAGCUGGCGGCAGGCGUAACACAUGCAAGUCGAGCGAGCUGCGGACGGGUGAGUAAUGUCGGGGAAACUGCCUGAUGGAGGGGGAUAACUACUGGAAACGGUAGCUAAUACCGCAUACCAUCAGAUGUGCCCAGAGGGGAUUCGCUAGAAGGUGGGGUAAUAGCUCAACUAGGCGACGAACCCUAGCUGGUCUGAGAGGAUGACCAGCCACACUGGCACUGAGACACGGGCCAGACUCCUACGGUGGGUAGCUGGGGUGAAUACUGCCCAAUGGGAGCAAGCCUGAUGCAGUCACGCCGCGUGUGUGAAGAAGGCCUUCGGGUUGUAAAGAACUUGCAGCUAGGAGGCGUUACUCGCAGAGGAUGCACCGGCUAACUCCGUGCCAUCAGCCGCGGUAUUUC